ensembl:snoRNA small nucleolar RNA SNORA17
CCUGUCCCUAGAGGCAUUUCUGGUGUGGCUACUGUGUCACAUGUGUGUCAGUAGGUGACAGAGAGAAGAGAAGCUGUGUCUACCCUCAGUGUUGUCACCUGUGAACAUGAGUGAUUUUUAGCCUAACACU